CGUAGGGUCCAAGCGUUAUCCGGAAUCACUGGGCGUAAAGCGUGCGUAGGUGGCGCAUUAAGUGAGAUGUUAAAUCGUGUGGCUCAACCAUAUCGAUGCAUCUCAUACUGGUGUGCUAGAGGACGGCAGAGGCAAGUGGAAUUAGCAGUGUAGCAGUGAAAUGCGUAGAUAUUGCUAGGAACACCAAUGGCGAAGGCAGCUUGCUGGGCCACUCCUGACACUGAGGUACGAAAGCGUGGGGAGCGAACAGGAUUAGAUACCCUGGUAGUCCACGCCGUAAACGAUGCAUACUAGUCGUAUGGGGUAUCGACCCCCUGUGCGACGCAGCUAACGCGUUAAGUAUGCCGCCUGGGAAGUACGGCCGCAAGGCUA
rnacentral:rRNA from 1 species